GGUGGGGUAAAGGCCUACCAAGCCUACGAUCUAUAGCUGGUCUGAGAGGACGAUCAGCCACAUUGGAACUGAGACACGGUCCAAACUCCUACGGGAGGCAGCAGUGAGGAAUAUUGGGCAAUGGAGGCAACUCUGACCCAGCCAUGCCGCGUGAGUGAAGAAGGUUUUCGGAUUGUAAAGCUCUUUCGGAUGUGACGAUGAUGACGGUAGCAUCUAAAGAAGCCCCGGCUAACUUCGUGCCAGCAGCCGCGGUAAUACGAAGGGGGCAAGCGUUGUUCGGAAUUACUGGGCGUAAAGGGAGUGUAGGCGGUUUAGUAAGAUAGUGGUGAAAUCCCAGAGCUUAACUUUGGAAUUGCCAUUAUAACUAUUAGACUAGAAUUACAGAGAGGAUAGUGGAAUACCCAGUGUAGAGGUGAAAUUCGUAGAUAUUGGGUAGAACACCAGUAGCGAAGGCGACUAUCUGGCUGUACAUUGACGCUGAGGCUCGAAAGCAUGGGGAUCAAACAGGAUUAGAUACCCUGGUAGUCCAUGCUGUAAACGAUGAGUGCUUGUUGUCGGUAUUAAAUCGGUGACGUAGUUAACGCGUUAAGCACUCCGCCUGGGGAGUACGGUCGCAAGAUUAAAACUCAAAGGAAUUGACGGGGACCCGCACAAGCGGUGGAGCAUGU
rnacentral:rRNA from 1 species